rfam:Octopus bimaculoides Scaffold65790_contig_37, whole genome shotgun sequence.
AAUUGCUUCAACAAUGCACAUACUAGAAUUGGAAUAAUACAGAGAUGAUUAGCAUGGCCCCUAUACAAGGACGAUAUGCAAAUUCAUGAAGCAUUCCAUAUUUUA